rnacentral:rRNA from 1 species
AGAGUGAACGCUGGCGGUAGGCCUAACACAUGCAAGUCGAACGGCAGCACAGUAGGAGCUUGCUCUUACGGGUGGCGAGUGGCGGACGGGUGAGGAAUACAUCGGAAUCUACCUUUUGGUGGGGGAUAACGUAGGGAAACUUACGCUAAUACCGCAUACGCCCGUUCGGGGGAAAGCCGGGGACCAGCAAUGGCCUGGCGCUGAUAGAUGAGCCGAUGUCGGAUUAGCUAGUUGGUGAGGUAAUGGCUCACCAAGGCGACGAUCCGUAGCUGGUCUGAGAGGAUGAUCAGCCACACUAGGAACUGAGACACGGUCCAAGACCUCCUACGGGGAGCAGCAGUGGGGAAUAUGGAACAAGUGGGCACGAACGCCUAGACUCCGAGCCAAUACCGGCGGUGGGUA